CCUACGGGAGGCAGCAGUGAGGAAUAUUGGUCAAUGGGCGCGAGCCUGAACCAGCCAAGUAGCGUGAAGGAUGAAGGCCUUCGGGUUGUAAACUGCUUUUAUAAGCGAGAAAUAUGAUGGUAACUUAUGAAUAAGGAUCGGCUAACUACGUGCCAGCAGCCGCGGUCAUACGUAGGAUCCGAGCAUUAUCCGGAGUGACUGGGUGUAAAGAGUUGCGUAGGUGGCAUAAUAAGUAGCUAGUGAAAUCUGGUGGCUCAACCAUUCAGACUAUUAGCUAAACUGUUAAGCUCGAGACCGUUAGGGGUAACUGGAAUUUCUAGUGUAGGAGUGAAAUCCGUAGAUAUUAGAAGGAACACCAAUAGCGUAGGCAGGUUACUGGGACGGUUCUGACACUAAGGCACGAAAGCGUAGGGAGCAAACGGGAUUAGAUACCCGGGUAGUC
rnacentral:rRNA from 1 species